rnacentral:lncRNA from 1 species
UGUUAUUAUGGUGGAGGUCUUGUGUUCGAAUCUUUAUGCAAGCAAGGGUAUUAUUUUUUUUUUUGCUCACAUUUCGGGAUAGAGUUGUGUAAUAGGGGGAUUCUGAGUAGUGGAUGUGUAGUGGGAAUUAAGGGAGAAGAUUAAGGGAUUUUGGGGGUUAUUGUGAUUUUAUUUUAUUUUAUUUUUUUCCCGUAACCGAAUUUUGACUCUCUUUGCAAAAAAAAUUCUACCGUAUAUUCUUCUCCCUCUCCUCUUGUCAAAAUUCUCUGAGUUUUUCCAUCUUUCUCUUCUUUUUCUUCUUCUUGAUUUUUCCCUAAUCCAUUUAUUUUCCUUCAUUUUGGCAUGUAGUUAGUGCUUGCUUAGUUUCGG